rnacentral:rRNA from 1 species
UACGUAGGGUCCGAGCGUUGUCCGGAGUUACUGGGCGUAAAGGGCGCGCAGGCGGCGGUGCUGGCCCGGCGUGAAAGCCCCCGGCUCAACCGGGGAGGGUCGUCGGGGACCGCACCGCUUGAGGGCGGUAGGGGCUGGUGGAAUGCCUGGUGUAGUGGUGAAAUGCGUAGAGAUCAGGCGGAACACCCGUGGCGAAGGCGGCCAGCUGGGCCGACCCUGACGCUGAGACGCGAAAGCGUGGGGAGCGAACAGG